rnacentral:rRNA from 1 species
AACGAACGCUGGCGGCAUGCCUAACACAUGCAAGUCGAACGAGACCUUCGGGCCUAGUGGCGCACGGGUGCGUAACACGUGGGAAUCUGCCCUUUGCUUCGGAAUAACAGUUAGAAAUGACUGCUAAUACCGGAUGAUGUCGAAAGACCAAAGAUUUAUCGGCAAAGGAUGAGCCCGCGUAGGAUUAGGUAGUUGGUGGGGUAAAGGCCUACCAAGCCGACGAUCCUUAGCUGGUCUGAGAGGAUGAUCAGCCACACUGGGACUGAGACACGGCCCAGACUCCUACGGGAGGCAGCAGUGGGGAAUAUUGGACAAUGGGCGAAAGCCUGAUCCAGCAAUGCCGCGUGAGUGAUGAAGGCCUUAGGGUUGUAAAGCUCUUUUACCAGGGAUGAUAAUGACAGUACCUGGAGAAUAAGCUCCGGCUAACUCCGUG